GACGUAGGGCGCAAGCGUUGUCCGGAAUUAUUGGGCGUAAAGAGCCCGCAGGCGGCUUGGCAAGUUUGAGGUGAAAUCUCCCGGCUUAACUGGGAGGGGGCCUCGAAAACUGCCAGGCUUGAGGCAUGGAGAGGGAUGCGGAAUUCCCGGUGUAGUGGUGAAAUGCGUAGAUAUCGAGAGGAACACCAGUGGCGAAGGCGAGUCCCUGGACAGGUCCUGACGCUGAGGCACGAAAGCUAGGGGAGCAAACAGG
rnacentral:rRNA from 1 species